rnacentral:rRNA from 1 species
GACGGAGGGUGCUAGCGUUGUUCGGAAUCACUGGGCGUAAAGGGCGCGUAGGCGGCUUUGGCAGUCGGCUCGUGAAAGCCCGGGGCUCAACCCCGGAGGUGCGGCCGAUACACCAAGGCUGGAGGCCGGAAGAGGAGGGUGGAAGACCCAGUGUAGAGGUGAAAUUCGUAGAUAUUGGGUGGAACACCGGUGGCGAAAGCGGCUCUCUGGUCCGGUUCUGACGCUGAGGCGCGAAAGCGUGGGGAGCAAACAGG